rnacentral:rRNA from 1 species
UACAGAGGAGCCAAGCGUUGUCCGGAUUGACUGGGCGUAAAGCGCACGCAGGCGGUUGCGCGCGUGGGGUGUGGAAUCUGGCCGCUUAACGGCCAGGCGCCAUCCCAUACGGCGCGACUGGAGUGAUGCAGAGGUCGAUGGAAUUGCCGGUGUAGUGGUGAAAUGCGUAGAGAUCGGCAGGAACACCCAGGGGGAAACCAGUCGACUGGGCAUCUACUGACGCUGAGAUGCGAGAGCGUGGGGAGCGAACCGG